UACGUAGGGUGCGAGCGUUAAUCGGAAUUAUUGGGCGUAAAGAGCUCGUAGGCGGCUUGUUGCGUCGACCGUGAAAACCCGGGGCUCAACUUCGGGCUUGCGGUCGAUACGGGCGGGCUAGAGUUCGGUAGGGGAGACUGGAAUUCCUGGUGUAGCGGUGAAAUGCGCAGAUAUCAGGAGGAACACCGGUGGCGAAGGCGGGUCUCUGGGCCGAUACUGACGCUGAGGAGCGAAAGCGUGGGGAGCGAAUGGG
rnacentral:rRNA from 1 species